rnacentral:tRNA from 1 species
GCCCUGGUAGUGUAGUCCGGCUUAUCAUGAAGCCCUGUCGCGGCUUCGACCCGGGUUCAAAAGGUGGCAAGCUCAACAAUGGUUUGCAUCGCUGGAAGUCCCGGCCAGGGCG